rnacentral:rRNA from 1 species
AAUAUUUGCACAAUGGGCGCAAGCCAGAUGCAGCCAUGUCGCGUGAGUGAAGAAGCCUUAGGGUUGUAAAUCUCUUUUCACCGGUGAAGAUAAUGACUGUAGCCGGAGAAGAAGCUCCGGCCAACUCGUGCCAGCAGUCCGCGGUAAUACGGAGGGGCUAGCGUUUUUCGGAAUUACUGGGCGUAAAGCGCGCGUAGGCGGUCUGGCCAGUGGGGGUGAAUUUCCCGGUGCUUAACCUCGGAACUGCCCUCAAUACUACCAGUCUAGAGAUCGAGAGAGGUAAGUGGAAUUCCUAGUGUAGAGGUGAAAUUCGUAGAUAUUAGGAAGAACACCAGUGGCGAAGGCGGCUUACUGGCUCGAUACUGACGCUGAGGCGCGAAAGCGUGGGGAGCAAACAGGAUUAGAUACCCUGGUAGUCCACGCCGUA